rnacentral:misc_RNA from 1 species
GAAUAACAUUUCGUGAAAACUUUCAAGCACAUUAUAAUUAAUUUUGAACGCUUCGGAAAAUUCUCGAUCGCUACCUUGACAACUGUUUGUUUUUGAUUGGCUGAAAAUUUUCAGGAAAAUCAAAUUCCUCUGUCUGAGUAAGGAAUUAUUCGAUUUCUGUGCAUUCGUUUAAAUUCUAACAUACAAAGCAAUAAGUGUAUAAAAUAUAUUUAAAGAUGGCUUUAUUUAGCCGUAGAGUAUACCUUUUUGGUGCCUUACUGGUGUUAGUAAGUGCAACGGGUGUGGUGCAUGCCGACAGUGAAGAUGCUGACGACGAAGCUACCGUGGAGACUGUGGAAGAAGAGAACCAGUAUGUUAGUCCUAAAAUAAGUCCAGAAAAAGUGUACCUAGCUGAACACUUUGAUGAUGAGGCCUCCUUUAAGAAGAAAUGGGUGAAGUCUGAAGCCAAGAAACAGGGUGUCGAUGAGAACAUCGCCAAGUAUGAUGGAAAAUGGGAGAUUCAACAACCCAGCAGGAAGAUCUUUAAAGAGGACCUUGGUCUAGUGUUGACCACUGAAGCCAAACAUGCCGCCAUAUCUACCCUGCUUGACAAACCAUUUGAGUUUAAAGAUAAACCAUUCAUUGUUCAAUAUGAAGUCACUAUGCAGGAAGGUCAAAACUGCGGCGGUGCCUACAUUAAGCUUCUCUCCCGUGGUACAAACACUAAGGCUGAUCUUCGCAAAUUUUACGACCAGACGCCCUACACCAUCAUGUUUGGCCCCGACAAGUGUGGCAAUGAUAACAAACUGCACUUCAUCUUCAGACAUAAGAACCCAAAGAACGGAACCAUUGAGGAGAAACAUAGCAAGAAACCUUCUACCCGUCUAGACGACAUCUACAAAGACAAAGAACCUCAUCUAUACACACUGAUUGUCCGUCCGGAUAACACGUUCAGCAUACAGAUAGACAAUAAGGAGGUGAACUCUGGCUCUCUACUGGAUGACUUCACUCCCCCUGUAAACCCACCAGAAGAGAUUGAUGACCCCAAUGAUAAGAAGCCUGAGGAUUGGGAUGAGAGGGAAAAGAUUGUGGACCCAUCAGCAACUAAGCCGGAGGACUGGGACGAGGAUGCGCCCGCGCAGAUCAUCGACCCAAACGCUGUCAAACCUGACGGCUGGCUCGACGAUGAACCUGAAAUGAUUCCUGAUCCUGAAGCCAAGAAACCUGAAGACUGGGACGAGGAAAUGGACGGAGAAUGGGAAGCGCCUCUUAUUGACAACCCCAAGUGUGCUGCAGCGGCCGGCUGCGGUGAAUGGAAACCACCCACCAUACCCAAUCCUAACUAUAAGGGCAUCUGGCGGGCGCCGCUGGUCACGAACCCCAACUACCGCGGCAAGUGGACGCCGCGCCGCAUCCCCAACCCGCACUACUUCAAGGACGAUCACCCAUUCCGGAUGACGCCUAUUCACGCGGUAGGCUUCGAGCUGUGGUCGAUGUCGCCGAUGCUGCUGUUCGACAACCUCAUCAUCACGGACGACGUCGCCGUCGCCGACCAGUGGGCACGGGACACAUUCGUGCUCAAGAAGGCUAAGAUCUCUAGGGAUUCUGACUCUGUAGUGGACCGCGCUCUGAAGUACGCGGGCGACAACCCGUGGGUGUACGCAGUGGUUAUCAUCGGCUCCUUCCUAUUGGUCGGACUUAUUGCGUACGCGUGCUUUGGAUCUAAAUCGGACGUGGAAGCUGACAUAAAGAAGACAGACGCAGUGGCUGAAGACGACCCUCACCAGUCUGAUGCUGAGGAGGAGUCUCGCGAGGAGUUAGAGCGUCCCAGCAAGGCGGACCUCGAGGGACCCACCGCUGACGUGGAACCAGAAAACCUCGUUACCUCUACUGAAGACACUACUCCACUAGUGGACACAGACGGCGCCGGCGACGGUCAGAGGAAACGCAAGCCUCGUAAGGAGUAAUACGUGAGCGUUGUAUAGUUCAAAUGUAACGUGUGUGUGUGUGUGUGUGUGUGUGUGUGUGUGUGUGUGUGUGUGGCUGUAGCGAUGUGUGCGGGGACGUGACGUCAUCACGCGUCUGCGGCGGUAGGUUACUUGUGUGUUGAGCUCGGAAUUCAAAUUUGGAAUUAUUUUAUAUUUUUAUUAAGAAGUAUUACACGAAAAGGUUGUUAUGCUAUUGCGGAACUCAUUAGUAAAGGACCAAAGAGUGUGUGAAGGAAGACCAAAGUUAGUUUGAUAAAAUAACAUGCUGCUAUAAUUCUAAACACAUAUUUUUUUCUUAACAUCUGUAAUUUAUGGAGUACAUUUAUUUGUUUCUGUAUGUAUGUUAAUAUAUUUAACUUAAAGUACCUAUUUAGCCUGUGAAAAAGUCAUAAUAGAAAAUUAUACGGUGUUUUGAGCUGACUCAACAUACAAGUGUGUAUCUGCCUCCUCUGGACUCUUUCUUUUAUGUAGUUAAGCUAUAUUAUUAGACUAAUAUAUUAUAGAAAAUUAUAUUCUCGUCUGUCUUUCUUGCCCGUAAAACUUAUUAUUUCGCGGUUUCCUUCUAUUUAAGGACUUAAUAAUAACUUCUUGGUAUUUAUAGAAAUAUGGUAUAUCAUAAUAAUAUUCUACUAUUUUUACAUACAAUAGGAAUGUCGAAGGUAUUAUAUUUAAUAGUGUUUAGUAGAUAGAGUAGAGCAAUAAUUUAUUCGAGCAAAUAAGGUAUAUUGUGGGACGAAUUUACAUCAAGUAUGUCAUAUUUUCUCCAUGUUGUUUAGUAUUACGAACAUAAUAUUCUGAUUGAACUUACUGGCUUAAUGUGCGCGUUGUAAUGUAUAGGAUAUUUUAAAACAAGCUGUUAUUAUUUCGUCUUCACAGUACAAAAUAAAUUCAUGUGUAUUUUUCCUAUUGUGUACUGCCAAAGAACUUCAGCGUCUCUUUAUUUUAACAUGUGACCAAUAAUGUAGUGAACAAAUGUUGAAAGAACUUACGUUGCAUUUUUAUAUUAUACACUGUAUGAUAUUGAUAAAGUAUUUAUUUCAUAUCGGUACAGUCGUCUACGGAAGCGGUUUGUCACUUAACUUCCACCUUUGUCACAAUUUCACUUUUCACAUGUUCUGUUUUCGACUGUACUCUGAAAACAUGUCCGCAUUGCGUGUUCAUUCAUUUUUGUUAUGAAUUUCGUUCAUAAAUGUUAUACAUGAUACUUUUAUGUGGAAUAUAAUAUAAUAAAAUAUGUGGAAUAAGUAGUUUAAUUUUUGUAUUUUUUUCGUUGGCACGUUGUGGGUCCCGUAUGAGAGGUUUAUCUGUAUAUAAUUUGUCGGCUUAUUAUAUUAUUAGUGAAUUCUGAAGAUUUUUGUGCGACAAUUUCUUUUACAUUUUACUUAUGACUAUGUACAUUUAGAUAGAAACACAUUGCUUAUUAUCGAGUAUUAACUUCGUCGUAUUGUGUAAUAUACUUGAAUUUUCACUCGUAUAUAUUUGUCUUAGGAUCGUGCUCAUGCUGUGCUCGAUUUAUGAGUUAACAAUAAAGUACAACACUUAUUAUAUUUUUUGUAAUUCUUAUUUACCCGUAGCAGGAUAACACUGCUAAAUAGGUUCCUUCUAAUAAUAACAUUAAAUCGGCGAUACAGUCAAAUUCUCCAUUUAUGACGAGGUUUCUUAUUUUGAUAUACCAAGACCUCGUAAAUUUCGAUACUUGAACAAAAUAUUAUUGAACAAUAUUUUUUAUUGCUUCACAUAUUAUACACUAAUUUAAAAGAAAUGAGCACGAUCCGAAAGUGCUUUGGACUCACAGCCAUCCUAAAUGUUUCAAGUAACUUUCGUUUAGCAGGUUUACCUAAAUUUAUAUCAAUAAGGCCCUUAACUCGUAUUAAAUAAAAAGAUUCAUAAUUAUUGUGGUCAUACAUAGUUAAAAUAUUAAAGGGCAAUGUCUUAGCGUAAUUUAUUUACAAGGUCGAUUGUCAAAACUAUCACCAGUGUCGCGUGUUUACAAAUUAAAAAAAAGUAGUUAAAUAAAAAUAUGCAGGUAUUUUUUAAUAUUUAUUUUUCACAUUCCAAUCUUUAUUUUUAUGGCAGUAAGAUGCAUUUUUGAAAGGUUUUUUUGUAUGAGUUUCUAAGCUGUGAGUCCAAAUGUUUUUCAAACACGACGGUUAUUUAGGGCAGCUGUAUAAUUAUAAAUAACGCUUUAGUCUCGAUGCUUUUAUUUUCCUAAGUACGACUCUGUGUGAUACGUGAAGUUAAUGGACUGUAAUUUAUAUGGAUAAUAAACUGAAUUAUUUGUA